CUUUGCCUGACAUUAAAAAAUUGUGGUUAACACAUUUAAAAAACAGUGAUCUAGUGUAAUUUUUUUCCAUAAAGCUACAAGUUGAGUUAAAGGAAAAAAGUGGAAUUUUUUAGAACAACACAUAACAGUUCAUGUGAUUUAUCAUACAAAUUUAUUAAACUGUACAUCAGUAAACAACCUAUUUUGGAGGUAGGAUAUCAUGAAAGAGUGUUGUACUGGUGGGAAUUUUCCAAAAGUGGAUUGGCAACACUGG